AAUAUUGGACAAUGGGCGCAAGCCUGAUCCAGCCAUGCCGCGUGAGUGAUGAAGGCCUUAGGGUUGUAAAGCUCUUUCAGCGGGGAAGAUAAUGACGGUACCCGCAGAAGAAGCCCCGGCUAACUUCGUGCCAGCAGCCGCGGUAAUACGAAGGGGGCUAGCGUUGUUCGGAAUUACUGGGCGUAAAGGGCGCGUAGGCGGACUGUUAAGUCAGGGGUGAAAUCCCGGGGCUCAACCCCGGAACUGCCUUUGAUACUGGUGGUCUUGAGUUCGGGAGAGGUGAGUGGAAUUCCGAGUGCAGAGGUGAAAUUCGUAGAUAUCGGGAGGAACACCAGUGGCGAAGGCGGCGCUCUGGGCUGGAACUGACACUGAGGAGCGAAAGCGUGGGGAGCAAACAGG
rnacentral:rRNA from 1 species